rnacentral:rRNA from 1 species
UACGAAGGGGGCGAGCGUUGUUCGGAAUUACUGGGCGUAAAGGGCGCGUAGGCGGUCGAUCAAGUCAGAUGUGAAAGUCCUGGGCUUAACCUGGGGACUGCAUUUGAUACUGAUUGGCUUGAAUUCGGGAGAGGAUAGCGGAAUUCCCAGUGUAGAGGUGAAAUUCGUAGAUAUUGGGAAGAACACCGGUGGCGAAGGCGGCUAUCUGGACCGACAUUGACGCUGAGGCGCGAAAGCGUGGGGAGCAAACAGG